rnacentral:snRNA from 1 species
AUCGCUUCUCGGCCUUUUGGCUAAGAUCAAAGUGUAGUAUCUAGUUAGAAGACUAUUAUUACAUAAGGGCACGAUGUCAUCCCCC